UAUUACUUGUACGAUUUGGUACACUUGUCAAUCCGUCAACAAUACUCAGAUUACCAAAUGGGUUCUUUCCAUCAUUGGUAAACCAAGGCUAAGAUUUCUACACUCUUUACCAAAUUGGGGGAAUUGUUGAUCAAUAUUUUUCCAUUGCUUUGAAUCAGCUGGAUGACGAAGCAGCCCGUCAAUUUUUCUCUCAUCUGCAUGCCAUCUAAGGUUUUUAGCAUCUUUGGGAUUCGCAAACAAACGCUUAAGUCUGGGCACUAUUGGAAGGUACCAAACUACUUUCAAAGCAGAUCCAUUUUUCUCUAUCUGACCAUUAUCCUCACUAUUGUUUUUUGACUUGUAUCGUGAUAAACCACAUUUUGAAUACUUUGUCAAAAAUUCAAACUCUUUCC
rnacentral:lncRNA from 1 species